ensembl:lncRNA
CGAGAUGAUAUAUAGAUGAUAUAUAAGAUCUGUUGUGUGUCUCUUAUAUAUGAUAUCGAGAUGAUAUAGAGAUGAUAUAUAAGAUGUGUUGUGUCUCAUAUAUAUGAUAUAGAGAUGAUAGAUAGAUGAUAUAUAAGAUGUUUUGUGUCUCAUAUGUGAUAUAAAGAUGAUAUAUUUAAGCCAUAGAUCAAGACAGGCUGUGGUAUGUGCUCAUUAUACCACUGUUAAGGGGCGUUGUCCGGCCCUGACGCGCAGCGGAGGGCUGGCGACCCCCUUCACAGUGGUAUAAUAUAUAAGAGACACGCAACACAUCUUAUAUAUAAGGUGUGUUGUGUGUCUCAUAUAUAUGAUAUAUAGAUGAUAUAUAAGGUGUGUUGUGUGUCUCAUAUAGAGAUGAUAUAUAGAUGAUAGAUAAGGUGUGUUGUGUGUCUCAUUUAUAUGAUAUAUAGAUGAUGUAUAAGAUGUGUUCUGUGUCUCAUUUAUGAUGUAUAGAUGAUAUAUAAGGUGUGUUGUGUGUCUCAUCUAUAUGAUAUAUAGAUGAUAUAUAAGGUUUGUUGUGUCUCAUUUAUAUGAUAUAUUGAUGAUACAUAGAUGAUAUAUAAGGUGUGUUGUGUGUCUCAUAUAGAUGAUAUAUAGAUGAUAUAUAAGGUGUGUUGUGUGUCUCAUUUAUAUGAUAUAUAGAUGAUAUAUAAGGUGUGUUGUGUGUCUCAUUUAUAUGAUAUAUAGA